rnacentral:lncRNA from 1 species
ACUGUGAAGUCACAAGAGGCCCUGAGCUCUGUGGGCCCCAGGUGCCCCGGGAAAACUUGGGGGAGAAUGGGCAUCCCACCCCAGCACUUUCUAGGAAGAAGGGCAGCAUUUUGAAGGGCUGGAAGUAGAGGAAGGAGGUUGCGGGUAGAAGACUCCAUACUUUCUGUGACGCCUAUUCCUUAGGUAGGAACUUAGGAACCUCAGUCAGAGGCAUGGCUUGCCUGGGCCUCUGGGUGCAGCUGCACAGAUUCAAGCAGCCUGAAGGAAAGGUGACUGACAGCUAAUGAUCUGAAAAGAACUUGUCUCAACUCAACGUCAUUCCUGGCAUUAUCGAACAAAGCAAUAAACCUCACAGAAUGGAAGCUACAGUGUCCAGGGCCAGCUCUGCUAAGGUAACCAAAGACAGAGAAGGAGGCAAAAGUGACAGAAGAAACUCAUGGGAAACCAACAGAAAUAUAAUGGCUUUGGCAGAAAUGCAAUUAUCAAUUGGGAGCUUGUGAUGAAUGUUUUCUCAGUAUCCUAUGCUGAAAACAGGUAGAUACUAAUAUCGAUCUUCAAGGGAGGGCUGUUGAGUAUUGAAUAAGACAAAAACAUGGAAGCAAUCAGCACCAUGCUGGAGAGCCUUUAUAUAACCAAAGAUAUUUUUGGACCAUGAAUUCAGAAAUUCUCGGAGCCACCCAUCAGUGCCUGAGCUUCAGUGAGUCCAUAUCCCAUGUCACCCACGGCAAAGGAGACUCUAAGACUUCUGAAGAGUUUCUUGCUUCUUUCCUGUGGGGCAGUGACUCCACUUCCCAGCAGUAAUGGAAUAUCCUGAAUUAGCUACAUUAAUGUUAGAACCAUUUGGACCUCACCCAGGACUUCAACUACAUUAUGCUAAAGUUACAGAACCCAAAUUUGGCAACUGUCUGCAUCUGAACAACAGAAGUUUCAACAUUCUGCCAACAGAGUAACUCCUGGACGAUUGGCACAGAAGAAGGCACAAGGUUCUAGUAUGUUACGUUUAUGUUCCCCUGCUUUCUACAAUCCUGUUCAAAGAGUUGCUGACUUAACCACAGAGAGGAUUCCAGAACCUGAGACACAGAAUAAACUUGAGCAAUCAUAGUCCAUCCACUUCAUUGUCUCAUCAAAAACCAAAGGUCCAGUGAAGCUCUGGAACUCAACGCUGUAAAGGAGCGAAGGAGCUUCUAUACAGAGCCUGGAUGCCUGUCUCCUUAUCCUACUUCAGUGGACUUGACUGCAAUCCGGAUUAUGCUGUUUUCUAAGCAUUUAAAAUAAAAUAAAAAGUAUAAUAGUGUGAUAAGUUCUUUCACAAAGCAAGCAAUCACAUUUAUGUUUCUACUUACAUUUGGGUUUUCCAAAUAUGUGUGUGUGUGUGUGUGUGUGUGUGUGUGUGUGUAUGUAGACUUUAAACAUGGUGCAUCCAUCAUGUUGCACUAAAUCAAAACCACCAAAUAAUGAUGUAGAACUAAUAAAUCAAAACCAUCAAAUAAUGACAUAGAAAUCCAAUUCUCCCACCUUACACCCAUUAAGAUGGCUACU